AUCAAAGAGUGAUUGGGAAAAAUCAAGAAUGCGUUCAACAGAGAAAUAUGAAACAUACCUUCCAAGAAACCAGAGGCAACAACGCAAUAUACUUUUUAAAAAUAAAGAAACAGCUUUUACUGGCGAAAUUGAAUGUAGCAAUGUUGAACCUUUUGAAAUCAAGAAAGAAUUUAUCGAAGAUCAAGACACUACUUGUCAAAAUCCUAAUCAGAAAUAUAAGUCAAAAUGGUGUUCCGUGUAUAUAAAAGAUACGGGUAAUUUGACUGUUAAGAACAAACUGUCGAUAUACAAGGAGCAAACAUUUCAAGAAUUAGAACAGAUACCGGAAAAGAAGUUCAAAUGUGAAAAAUGUGCCCGUAGCUACAAAUGGAAAAGUCAUUUGAAUCGCCAUCUAAGAUAUGAAUGCGACGUGAAUCCACAGUUCAUAUGUAAAUUCUGCGGCAAACAAUUUAGACGCAAAAGUCAUAUGAGUGAACAUAUAGUUCAGGUUCAUCAGAAAAUAAACUCCAAGAAAAAAAACAGCGAGUGAUUGUGAAAAACAGCAUAUAACAUCAGGGCAGCGUUUGAAACGUCGGAGGCAUCAUCAAAAUCUACUGUCUGAAAAUAAUGAAAAGAACUUUACUUGCAAAGUUGAAUAUAGCAGUGACGAAACAAUGGAAAUUAAGGAAGAAUUCACCGAAAUUGAAUACAUUGACAAUGAAGCUUUUAAAGUCAAGGAAGAAAUUAGCAAUGACGAAGAGACUACAAGUCAAAAAAUAAUUAAAAAAUAUGACUCGAAUUACUGUGCCGUAGAUAUAAAAGAAAGUGAUCAUUUUUCCGUUGACAAUAAAUCUCCGACCCAUAUGAAGGAGAAAAUUUAUAUAUCAAAGCAGGACCCGAAAAAAAAAUACACAUGCGAAAAUUGUGCUAAAGGCUAUAGCCAUAAAAGAAACUUGUAUCGUCAUCAAAAACUUCAAUGCGAUGUCAUUCGACAGUUUCGCUGCAACUUCUUUGACAAACGAUUUAAAUGCAACAAAUGUACUCGAAGUUACACUCGGUUAGAUUCUUUGUAUCGUCAUAUACGUGUGAAUCACGCAGAAGUCAAGCGACAAUUUAUUUGCAAUUUCUGCGGAUAUAAAACGAACGUGAAAAAUAAUUUGUAUAUACACAUUACUUCGCUCCAUAUGAAAGAAUAAUAAAGUUCACGAAACAUUAAACUUAGGGAAAUUUAUAUUAUUGAACGAAAAAACUAUUCUUUUUAUAAUACUCAAUUUUAUCUUUUAAGGUUCCGAAAAAUUAAAUGUACUCUCUCGAUGUUGACUUAAAUUGCUUUUUAUUAUAGAGCCAAUGUAU